rnacentral:tRNA from 1 species
UAUAUUUUGGUGUAAGAUGCACAUAAAUUUUUGGUAUUUUUAGAUACAGUUUAAUUCUGUUGAAUGUAG